rfam:Ruminococcus sp. CAG:57 genomic scaffold, scf106
AUAAUGAUACUUCCCAGUGAGGGCUAAGAGAGCGGGUGAGAGUCCCAUGA